rnacentral:piRNA from 1 species
UAGAAGAAAAUUUNGGUGCAAGCAUCGUG